rnacentral:lncRNA from 1 species
UUACUUUUAAAAAUAGGUUAUUAGAGAAAAAAAUCAUACAUUUAUUCUACUCACUCACAACCAUUUUUUUUACUCAACAUUUUUCCCAUCUUCUCAUUCUUCUCCCGUUUCUUAGUUUUCUCCUUCAGAUAUGUUUCAGUUCGAUUUGAAAUUUGAGAAUCAUUCAUGGAUUAACAACAUCAAUGAAUUGUUUUUCUCAUGCAUCUCACAAAAUCACUAACUUAACAAUUAAUCAUUUAUUCUGAAUCAAAUUAUAGGGUUAGGGUUUCUCUGCGUUUUGGAAAGAUGUUCAAGAAAAUCAUGAAAGGAGGGCACAUAAAGCCCUCCAAGUCAAACUCCAGCGAUCCACCUUUGUCAAAUAACAACCACAAUUGUCGUCAACCAUGCCUCACAUGGUGGAGUUGGAGGAACCAUUCCUACUAAUUACUCUGCCGCAAUGAUGCCCAUGACUCCACCUCCCGACACAAUGUAGAUGAUAUUGAGUUUACCCAAUGUGAAAGUGUAACCCUAAAAUUGUAACUUUAAAAGGCAUGAAACUUCUUCCACCACAACCGCUUCAUGGACUUUUCUUUUCAUUCCAUCAUAAUCGCUUUUUGACAUUUUCUUUCAUCUCCUUUUCUCUUCUUUCUUGUUUUUUCAUUUCUUCUCGUCGAGUGAGAUCAUGGCAAGAAAAGUCUUCUUUUUAUCCCUUCAAGGAUCAAUCGUAUCCUCACUGUUUAUGUAUCAUUAAGCUUUAUACGACCAAUUUUAGGGUUAAACCUCGAAGUUUUAAAGAAGUGGAUUAGGUAGCUUGCGGAAGACCGAUGAGGUAAGGAAGGACAAAUAACACGGAAAUCUAGUAGCUAUCUUUGAUGUAUUAUGUGAAGCCUCCAUAGACUCUUAAGUCUAUCUUUCUAAGGCGAGGAGCUCCAUGCCUCUGUCCAUGUUCUCUUAAAAGAGUAAAACCUAUCAAAUUUAAUCAUUGUGAUUCUUCUCAAAUAUGACAGAAAAAUGAACAUCUUUAUAAACAAAAGUAAAACAUCAAUUCACAUAUAUGCUUAGACAUGCAUAGUAAUAAAAACAUAUAUCCUAUUUAUUACACAUUUUGACUAAAUAUAGUUUUAAGAGAAUCAUAUAGUAUAGGAUUUUUAUUUUUUUUUUGAAGGGCAUAUAGUAUAGGAUUAUAUCAUGCAACAAUAUUGAAAAGUAAAUAAUUUUUCUCAUCAGGUAGCCUAGUGACUAGAAAUUCACUUUUAAAGUGAAUAAGUGGGGUGCCCAGAGUUCGAUAUAGAAAAUAAAACAAUAACCUAAAAAAUGAAAAUAAAAGCUUGGUACGUACUUACGGUUGUAAACAUUAUUAAUAUAGAAAGAGGUGAACUUAAUUAGUUCGACAAACACUUGAGCUCGUUAUCUUUCUCCAAUAUCGUACACACAACAGAAAGAAGAGGGGGGAUGUGCCGUAAAUAAUAAUAUAUGUAAAACCUAAGCAAACAAUUGAAGAAGAAGACCCACCCUUGAAGAGAAGAUCCAGAGUGGCGAUAAAAAAAGACCCCAACGCGGUGAUUCUGUCAAAGCUUGACCAAAAAGAAACUAAAGGAAAACAUAUAAACUAAAAACAUUAGAGAAUAAAUGUGAAGGAGGGAGAAGAAAAAUGACUCGCGGUGGCUGGAAAAUGGUUUACCGCAGAAGAGGGAAAAGAAAAUGACAAACAAAGUCGUGAAAGAAUAAAGUAUAAGAGGUUGCAAAUAGAGAAAUGUGAAAGAAAUUUUGGGGGAAUAUGAAAUAUGAAUUUCAAACUUGAGUCAGAGCUCAUCCCUUGCAAAAUUGGAAAGUAGAAACAUCUUUAUUCAUUAAAAUGGGUAUACUUUGUGAAGAAAUAUAUGGAAGAAGGACAAAAUAUUCUCCAUGUUUUUUUGUUGAAUGAAAUUUGUGUGUUGGGCUUUGUUAAUUUCCUUCAUAUGUGAGAU